rnacentral:rRNA from 1 species
CUUCCGAUCUCUCAGAACGAACGCUUGCUGCAUGCUUAAUACAUGCAAGUCGAACGAAGGCCCUAGCUUGCUAGGUGUCCUUAGUGGCGCACGGGUGAGUAACACGUGGGAACUUACCUCAGAGUACGGAAUAACUAUGGGAAACUAUAGCUAAUACCGUAUAUUCCGGAAACGGGAAAGAUUUAUCGCUCUGAGAUAGGCCCGCGCAAGAUUAGCUUGUUGGUGAGGUAAUGGCUCACCAAGGCUCCGAUCUUUAGCUGGUUUGAGAGGAUGAUCAGCCACACUGGGACUGAGACACGGCCCAGACUCCUACGGGAGGCAGCAGUAGGGAAUAUUGGACAAUGGGGGAAACCCUGAUCCAGCAAUGCAGCGUGAGUGACGAAGGCCUUAGGGUUGUAAAACUCUUUCAUCUGUGAGGAUAAUGACAGUAGCAGAAUAAGAAGGACCGGCUAAUUCCGUGCCAGCAGCCGCGGUAAUACGGAAGGUCCUAGCGUUGUUCGGAAUUACUGGGCGUAAAGAGUAUGUAGGCGGAACAGAAAGUUAGAAGUGAAAUCCCUGGGCUCAACCUAGGAAUUGCUUUUAAAACUUCUGUUCUUGAAUUCAGGAGAGGAUAGUGGAAUUUCCAGUGUAGAGGUGAAAUUCGUAGAUAUUGGAAGGAACACCAGUGGCGAAGGCGGCUAUCUGGACUGACAUUGACGCUGAGAUACGAAGGCAUGGGUAGCAAACGGGAUUAGAUACCCCGGUAGUCCAUGCAGUAAACGAUGGAUGCUAGUCGUCGGACUUUUGUUCGGUGUCGUAGCUAACGCGUUAAGCAUCCCGCCUGGGGAGUACGGUCGCAAGAUUAAAACUCAAAUAAAUUGACGGGGACCCGCACAAGUAGUGGAGCAUGUGGUUUAAUUCGACGCAACGCGAAGAACCUUACCAGCGUUUGACAUGGAAAGUACCGGUUACAGAAUGGUAACCUUCAGUUCGGCUGGCUUUCACACAGGUGCUGCAUGGCUGUCGUCAGCUCGUGUCGUGAGAUGUUGGGUUAA